rnacentral:rRNA from 1 species
UACGUAGGGUGCAAGCGUUGUCCGGAAUUAUUGGGCGUAAAGAGCUCGUAGACGGUUCGUCGCGUCGGCUGUGAAAUCUCGGGGCUUAACUCCGAAACUGCAUUCGAUACGGCCGUGCUUGAGGACUGGAGAGGAGACUGGAAUUUACGGUGUAGCGGUGAAAUGCGUAGAUAUCGUAAGGAAGACCAGUGGCGAAGGCGGGUCUCUGGACAGUUCCUGACGCUGAGGUGCGAAAGCGUGGGGAGCAAACAGG